AACCCUCGUCGGCUAGUUACUUUUCUCUAGCGAUACUGCCCGUAUAACGUGGAGGAAGUGGGGAUGACGUCAAGUCAGCACGGCCCUUACAUCCUGGGCUGCACACACGCUACAAUGGGUGAUACAACAGGUUGCAAUAGAGCGAUCUGGAGCCAAUCCCUAAAAUCAUCCUCAGUACGGAUUGCAGGCUGCAACUGCCUGCAUGAAGUUGGAGUUGCUAGUAAACGCAGGUCAGCACACUGCGUUGAAUACGUUCUCGGGCCUU
rnacentral:rRNA from 1 species